UUAUCCACUCUCUCCUCCCUUGUCAGUCUCUCCCCAUCCCAGCAAUCCCCCCUCUGUCGUGGCUCCGUCGCCGGGACGCGACUAGUGCGUCGUCAUCCUUCUCCUCGCGCUCGGCGCAACGCUAUCGAGGAGCGCCAGCUACCAGGCGUCAUGUCUGGGCGAUGAGACGGGCAGCAGCGGACAUAGGAGCUCGGGCAGAUUCGGGGCGUCGCACGGCAGAGGCGGGCGGGCGGGCUCCGAUGUCCUCACCGGCGUCGUUAAUUGGAGCAUGGGGGAGACGGAGGUGCCCCCGCGUUGUGCUCCCCGCAAAUUCCCCUCCGUCGUGGCUCCAUCUCCAGCGCCGCUUUCCUCCACCGUCCAGAUGAAGGAACUGCCAUGGGAUCCACCGGAGGCUGGCGCCACCGCCGUGGAAUCCAUGGCUGGGACGUCUGCCAGGUGAUGGAUCUAGCUGAGGCAUGGCCGCAGCCGCAAGAGGAGGGCUCCACAUCGACGGCGCCCGAGGAGAUGAUGAUGACUACCACACAUCUGCCGCUUCCCGACGCGGUGAUCAUGAACGCGAGCUUCCCUCCGCCUCUCGGCCGGGUUCGACCCGAGCACAGGUGCAGCAGCUAUCGGUAGAACUAGAUGGCAUCAUAGGAGGUGUGUUCGACCAUUUACAGCAGCACACUACACAAGCCCCCCGUGCUGGCUAAGUCCCUUGCAGGCUUUUUUUAGCGCAGCAGUAUGCAAUUGGGUUGUGCCUCACUUUUUUUAUUUCUGGGCUCAUGACUUGUGUGCCAAGUGGGCCACCAGGGGGGUCGUUCAGGACGGGACAUUUUCUGAUCGAACUAAAUCGUUCGGUAGGUUCCCCACCAUGUAACGAACGACUCGUUCGGGUUGAGGAUCUCCCAUCCGGAACGUUCGGUAGUUAUUGACGUCCUAGAGUUAAGCAUCAUCAGGCUACUUCUGGUAUGUGUUCUAUUUUUAGGGUGGAAGAUCAAAAUAUUUUUCAUGCCCUGGUGAGGUGCCCUAAGGCGAAGGAUCUUCAUAUGGCACAGAGAGAAGUUUGAAAUAUUCUUGGGGAAGAGGUUUUCAACUUCCUUAUUUGGCUGGAUCAGUUGAGUCCUUCAGUGCUUGAGCAAAUCAUAUUCAUCUUUUGGAGAGCCUGACACUUAAGAAAUGACUUGAUUUGCCUCUGCUAUUUUAGUGGAUAACUAUUGGUGGUCUUUCUCGUCAUGCCUUCCAAAUAUUGAGUUGAUUCCUACCGUCAAAGGCAGGGCGGUGGAGGCAGGAUUAAACCCAGUCAAUACUAGUAGGAGCAUCAUUGAAGUGUGGCAGCCUCGCCUCUGAUUAUAUUAAGAUUAAUAUUGAUGCUAGCUCUGUGGGUAUCAGCACUACAAGCAUGGGGUGGUUGCCAGAAAUUCUUCUGGUGAUGUCCUUUCUUCUAUACUAGAGGUUGUACGUGAUUUGUUGUGUUGUUGAUAAUGUUGAGAUUCUUAAAUUUCUUUACUCACUCUAUUUUAAAA